rnacentral:misc_RNA from 1 species
AACAUUCUUUGACAUAUAUGAGAUUCAAAUGCAUACUUUUUGUGAGCUCUCUUUGCAUAAACAACAUCAGGUUCAAUGGAGUUAGCAGCAGCAUCAAGGUCCCACCCAGCUGCUUUCAUCAUGUUGAUCAAAGGUUUAGAAAAAUCAUGAAUGGCUUUGAAAGCCGCUUCUACUGCAGAUGUGAAGAGCUCAGGUGUUAGAUCUACAGGACAAAAUCCAUUCUCAUCUCCAGAACCUUCUGAUUCUUUGGUUGACAAGCCCCUAAGCUUAAGAUUUUUUUCCAGUUUCGCUCGCUUUUGAGUUGCCUCCUCAAUCUGCUGCUGCAUCUGAAGAAUCUCAGUAUCUUUAUUCUGAAUUUCAGAUUGGAAUUUCUUCACCAUAACCUCGUACGUUUUCAGUAGGCUCUGUUGUUCUUGAAUCUCUGCAGCUAAGCGAGAGUCCUGAGGGGAAACGCAUACUGGUUUUGGAUAGUUCUCCCUGUAAAAAUGCUUGAGCUCAGAUAGGUUCUUCAGUUCAGAAAUUACAAGUUUGUCAGCAGCCUGGAUUUUUUCAGGAUCAUAUGGAGUAUGAGCAGAUUGAAGCUG